AUACGGAGGAUCCGAGCGUUAUCCGGAUUUAUUGGGCUUAAAGGGAGCGUAGGCGGUUUGAUAAGUCAGCGGUGAAAGUUUGCAGCUUAACUGUAAAAAUGCCGUUGAAACUGUCGGACUUGAGUGUAAAUGAGGUAGGCGGAAUGCGUGGUGUAGCGGUGAAAUGCAUAGAUAUCACGCAGAACUCCGAUUGCGAAGGCAGCUUACUAAGCUACAACUGACACUGAAGCACGAAAGCGUGGGGAUCAAACAGGAUUAGAUACCCUGGUAGUCCACGCAGUAAACGAUGAUUACUAGCUGUUUGCGAUACACAGUAAGCGUCACAGCGAAAGCGUUAAGUAAUCCACCUGGGGAGUACGCCGGCAACGGUGAAACUCAAAGGAAUUGACGGG
rnacentral:rRNA from 1 species